GACUACAGGGGUAUCUAAUCCUGUUUGCUCCCCACGCUUUCGUGCCUGAGCGUCAGUUCUGGUCCAGGAAGCCGCUUUCGCCACUGAUGUUCCUUCGGAUAUCUACGCAUUUCACCGCUACACCCGAAAUUCCGCUUCCCUCUGCCGAACUCUAGCUAUCCAGUAUCGAAUGCAAUUCCCAGGUUGAGCCCGGGGAUUUCACAUCCGACUUAAAUAACCGACUGCGCACGCUUUACGCCCAGUAAUUCCGAUUAACGCUUGCACCCUCUGUAUUACCGCGGCUGCUGGCACAGAGUUAGCCGGUGCUUUUUCUUUGGGUUAAAUCAAGACCGAAAGGUAUUAGCCCUCGGCUUUUUGUCCCCACUAAAAGUGCUUUACAACCCGCAGGCCUUCUUCACACACGCGGCGUCGCUGGAUCAGGGUUGCCCCCAUUGUCCAAUAUUCCCCACUGCAGCCGCCCGUAGG
rnacentral:rRNA from 1 species